rnacentral:rRNA from 1 species
AGCAGUGGAGGAAUCUGACAUGAGCGAAAGGCUUGAUCCCAGCGAACGGCGCGUGGAGGAAUGAAAGCCCUUCGAGAUGUAAACCUGUUGCGAGGGAGGAAUAAGGCCUGGAGGAAAUGCCAGGCCGAUGACUGUACCUCGCGAGGAAGCCCCGGCUAACUACGUGCCAGCAGCCGCGGUAAUACGUAGGGGGCGAGCGUUACCCGGAUUCACUGGGCGUAAAGCGGGUGUAGGCGGCUCGGUAAGUCGGGUGUGAAAUCCCACAGCUCAACUGUGGAAUUGCGCCCGAAACUGCUGAGCUUGGGGCCGGUAGAGGGAGACGGAACUGCCGGUGUAGGGGUGAAAUCCGUAGAUAUCGGCAGGAACGCCGGUGGGGAAGCCGGUCUCCUGGGCCGCGCCCGACGCUGAGACCCGAAAGCUAGGGGAGCAAACCGGAUUAGAUACCCGGGUAGUCCUAGCCGUAAACGAUGCCCACUAGGUGUGGGGGAUUAAUUCCUCCGUGCUGUAGCUAACGCGUUAAGUGGGCCGCCUGGGGAGUACGCCCGCAAGGGUGAAACUCAAAGGAAUUGGCGGGACCCCGCACAAGCGGUGGAGCGCGUGGUUUAAUUGGAUGCUGAGCCAAGAACCUUACCAGGGCUUGACAUGCAGGUGGUACCGACCCGAAAGGGGAGGGACCCCAUCCUUUUGGAUGGGGAGCCUGCACAGGUGGUGCACGGCCGUCGUCAGCUCGUGCCGUGAGGUGUUGGGUUAAGUCCCGCAACGAGCGCAACCCCUGCCCUUAGUUGCCAUCGGUUCGGCCGGGCACUCUAAGGGGACUGCCGGCGACGAGCCGGAGGAAGGAGGGGACGACGUCAGGUACUCGUGCCCUUUAUGCCCUGGGCUACACACGCGCUACAAUGGGUGGUACAAUGGGUUGCGACCCCGCGAGGGGGAGCCAAUCCCUAAAACCACCCUCAGCUCGGAUCGCAGGCUGCAACCCGCCUGCGUGAAGCCGGAAUCGCUAGUAAUCGCGGAUCAGCCACGCCGCGGUGAAUACGUUCCCGGGGUU